GAAAUGCGAUAACUAGUGUGAAUUGCAGAAUUCCGUGAAUCAUCGAGUCUUUGAACGCACAUUGCGCCCCCUGGUAUUCCGGGGGGCAUGCCUGUCCGAGCGUCAUUGCUGCCCAUCAAGCACGGCUUGUGUGUUGGGUCGUCGUCCCCUCUUCGGGGGGGACGGGCCCCAAAGGCAGCGGCGGCACCGCGUCCGAUCCUCGAGCGUAUGGGGCUUUGUCACCCGCUCUGUAGGCCCGGCCGGCGCUUGCCGAACGCAAAUCAAUCUUUUCCAGGUUGACCUCGGAUCAGGUAGGGAUACCCGCUGAACUUAAGC
rnacentral:misc_RNA from 1 species